UCAAAACCCUAGAUUAGCUCCUCCAUAAGCCCACUAGCUAUAACCUCGUCCUCCUACUUCUUCCUCCUGCUGCAAAACCCCUACCUCUCUCUCGCACGCGCUCAAAACGCACGCCGGCACACCAUUAUCCUACAAUGGCGGACGUGGUACAGUUCAAGCUGGAGCGUAUGCUCGACGAGCUAGAUGACUUGGAGCGACGCGGCUUGUUUAGCCGCCGUGAGAUAGCAGAGAUAGUCAAGCAGCGUCGCAAGUUUGAGUAUAGGCUCAAGCGGCCAAGCCCACUGAAGCAGGAUUUUUUAGCCUAUAUUGACUAUGAAAAACAACUCGAUGCCCUCCGCCUCCUCCGGAAAAAAUCCCUUUCAAAGAAUUCCGGCAACAAGAAAACGAAAAAAUCCGUCUCAGAUUACGCUGGUGUUUCUAGGAUUAUAGAAAUUUACAGACUCGCGACAAUCCGAUUCAAAAGUGAUAUUCAGCUCUGGUUCCAGUACUUGGAAUUCUGUAAAGCACGGGGGCACGGUAGGAUGAAAAAGGUGAUCUUUACAUUAUGAAUCUAUAUAUAUAUAUAUAUAUAUAUAUAUAUAUCAAGCAAUCUAUAUGCAAGCAUUAGUUACUUCAAAGCACCCCUCAUCAGAUGAAAUGUCGUUUAUUCCACCCCCUCCUUCAAGCCUCAACUUCCAAUACAUAAUUUUUAAAUUUGCCUUUCAGUUCACUUCAGCCAAGAUUCACUGUUUUUGGUCUCUAUUUUUUAUUUUCUAAUAUAAAUUUGUGUAAUUUUAUUUUAAUUUUGACGAACAAUACUUGGUUUGAUUAUUGACACUGUAUAAAGUUAACUGCUCAUUUAAUCUCGUUUCUUUAUAUUCUGAUUUUAAUCUUCUUCCUAUUGAAUUCACGCUUAUGGUCAUUAUAUUGGUAAAAAUAUGAUUAGUUUACCUUAAAAUUUUAAUUUCCUGUUUAUUGGUUGGAAAGAAAAAAAUAAGAUUAUUCAACUAUAGCACAUUUGAAGUUGAAUACGAGGAAAUAGCAAAGUAUUGGUAUAAUAAUUAAAUUUUAAUUGAUAUGAAUCCUAGCAAAGAGUUAGAAGGAUUGUAAGGCCUUGGUUAUCUUGCAUAAAAGUUCUUUGUGACAAAAAAGAAAAAGUAUACCGAUUAUUUUAAAUGUUUUGAUUUUGCCAUUUUGGUAUUAAAAUUUUUCAGUGCUACUCUUUAUGUAGAGACUAUUGCCUAUUAUCAAUUUUGUGAAUAAUCGACUGCACAAUCAAAUUAUAAAUCAAUAGAAGAAUAACAGUUUGGUAGCGCUAUAUUGAUAACGAGGUUAUUAAAAAACCUUUCAAAUUAUGAGAAACUAUAUGGAACAAUUGUAAUAUAUAAUAAAAACGUAUUAUAACAUUUUUACCUUGUAUAAUUGUCUGGUUCUAAUUUUACUAAGUCAUUGCCCUCACUGGAAUAGAAUCCUGGAUCCGCCUGCGAUCACUCUUUUUUAUUCAUUUUGUUUAGUGGAACUGAAAUUAUUCUUUUGUUGCCUUUUAUUAUUAGAAUUAGGUUAAUGAAUUUGUAAUGAUGGAUUAAUAUGGAUCUAAUAUUUGAGGGUUGAGGUGCAGUGAAUCAAUGCAGUUUCAGAGCUGUACCUAGCUCUGGAAAUGGAUGUAGUACAUAACCUGGAUUCAACUUAAACUAGUAAAAUAUUUUUGUUGUCUGUCCAACAUUAUAUAGAGAUUCCUUAUAUUUUGAUGUUAUCUUAUGUAGGCUUUAGCCCAAGUAAUUAGGUUUCAUCCAAAAUUGCCCGGCGUUUGGAUUUAUGCUGCUGCUUGGGAAUUCGACCACAACCUGAAUGUCACAGCUGCUCGUGCUCUUAUGCAAAGUGGUUUGAGAGCAUGCCCGACUUCUGAGGAUCUUUGGGUAGAGUAUCUUCGCAUGGAACUUACAUACCUUAACAAAUUAAAAGCUCGAAAGGUUGCUUUAGGGGAGGAUGAAAGAACCCCGACUAAGGAUACUUGUGAUGCUGAUGAGGAACGGUGGAGAGAUGAGAACAAUGAAUUAUUUAUGGCCCUUGAUGAGAGGAAAGAUGAUAGUAAGACAUCUGGUGUCCAAGAUGGUGAGUCUGAGGAGAAGGUAGACGUCCUCAGGGAACAUGGUUUAAAUGUUCUUCAUACUGUUUAUAAUAGUGCAAUUGAAGCUCUACCUUCUAGUUUCACCCUGAGAACGAAGUUCAUUCAGAUACUGGAAGCAACAAACUUAACCCAUUCAGAAGAUAUGCGAAAUGAGAUACUUAAUGACAUGAAAAAAGAUUUCUUGCGAGAACCGAAAUACUGGGAUUGGCUUGCAAGACUUGAAACAGCUGACUUUAAAGAAAUUAAACAAAAGCAAUUAAGCAAAGCAAUUCAGGUAUAUCUUGUACAUAAUCUUUUAUUACUUUUGUUAUAUAUCAUUGUGUGUACAAAACUUGUAUGGACAUUUGAUCUUUAGUCAACUGAUGAUGUACUGAGACGGAUACUGGAGAGCACGUGAUAGUUUGUGUGACAUGUUCGUGAUUAAAAGAAAUAAGAAUUUGGUAAUAAGUAGCAAUUACGUCUGACUGGUUAGUCUAUUUCUUCAUUAUUCAAGUUAUGAAAUUAUUAUUAUUAUUAUUAUUUUAGUUGAUUAUUCCACCUUGGUGUCUAAUAUGGAUCUUGAGGUUUAGACAUAAAAUCUCAUGCAUUUACAAUAAAGACUAGCAUGGGCUCAAAUUUUGGAAAGAUGAAUCUUCUUGUGUGAGAAUGUUUCCUUCUGGGUUUCAAUACAUUUGAUGUGUCCUCUUAGGAUUUGUUAGAGUCAUUAUCCGGGAGCCUUCUUUUGGUUAUCUUAAGCUAGAGAUGUUUAGUGCUCAUUCUUAGCACUACCUCAACUUCACAUUGAAUAAUGCUAAAUUGGCAUGAGGGAUCUGGAUCAUCUCUUUAUUAAUUUUACAUUCGAUAUCUUCCCUGUUCUAUCAACAUAUGAAACUCACCUUGCAUAUUUUCUCACAUACAGGUUUAUGAGGAGAGUUUGGAAACUGUGCCAUCAGCUACAAUGUUCAAUCUAUAUGUUAAGUUUCUCAUGGAUGCAAUUAAAAAUGAAAAUGGUGAUAAAAUGUCUGCUGUUCACUCCUGGUCAUCUGCUCAUUCUCUUCAUCCUAUUUCACGUCUUCAAAUAGUAUUUGAGAAGGCCGAAAGUCUUGGUUGCAUUACUGAAGAUCUUGCUUGUCAGCAUGUUUCAUUUUUGUUGCAACUGGGAAAAUCUGAGGAAGCUAAAGUGCUGAUACGAAAGCUUUGUAAUGGAAAAUUUUCACAUGCAGUGCAUUUAUGGACUUUGUGUCUCUCAAUGGAAAUGAGAAACAUUCAAAACAAAUUGCCUUUUACUAGCAAGGCUGAUCUAUCAUCCAUCUUUACACUCCUAAUUGAUGUUCUGAAGAAAGUGAGCAUUUCAGAAGCUGAAAAUCUGUGGCUAAUGGUAUGCAGAACUUUUCAUUGCUUUCUUCUGUCAAAAUUAUGUUCAUAUGCUUACAAAUAAUUGAUGCACGGUGUUCUAUCCAGUUUAUGUGUUCAGGCUCUAGCUUGGGAUACUUUCAUGGCUGCUUUCAUUAUCAUUAUUUAUAUUAAAAUUAUUUAUCAAUUUUAUUUCAGAUGGGAUUUGGAUUGAGGAUGGGGGGAUUGGUGAGGUGGUUAAAUUGGUUCUUCCAAGCCAAAAUUUCUGGAUUUCGUUUUAUCAACAUUGAGGCGUCUGCCAAUUGUUAUUCAGAAAUUUUAUUUUUAUUUAAUUGCUUAUAAACCCAUGUUUCUGAAAAAUCUUUAACUUAUAUAUGAAUGUCGCUAGAAUGGAUGGUAUAAAUUAUUGAAAAUGUUGCAGCAAAGUGCAUUCUUUAAUUUGAGGGGCAACUUUUGGAGUCAUUUACGUUUCUCCAUUUGCAGGGGCUAAAGUAUUUUGCAAACCAAAGACAUCAUUUUGACAAGCUGGUGGAGACUUCUAUUGUUUUAUUGGCCAAAGAUGGUGGAAGUGAUAGUGGAUUUUCUCUCUCUUCGGCCAUUGUAAAUUUUGUUCUUCAGAGGGACGGAGCAAAGGCUGCAAGAGAAAUUUAUAGACGGUGGGUUGCUGAAUUAUAAAUUUUUAAGCAUCUUAUGUUGUGAUAUAUGUACAGAGCAACCAUUUCGGGGUUAUCUAACAUUCUACCCUGUGCAAGUGCAGAUUUCUUACUUUACCUCAUCCAGGACUUGCUAUGUAUAGAAAUUGCAUUGAGCUGGAAUUGAACCUCACCUCUGCUGGGGACAAGAGUUGUCUACAAAAUGCUCGGAAAUUGUAUGAAUCUGCACUUUCAACUUAUAGUCAAGAUGCACGCUUGUGGCAAGACUAUUAUUCGAUGGAAAUCAAGGUAAUUCUUGUUCUCUCUCGUCUCAGGUUCAUGGUACAAAUCAUAUAGAUGUGAAGCAAUUAGCAAAAGAAUAGAGACCUGCAUUAGAUGCCAUACCAUAAUCAUGUUACUUCUAUUUUGUUCUUGGAAUAAAAACAAACAACCAAUAAUACAAGUAAAAAUAUUAAGUUAAUCAUUUUCAAGCCUCUGAAACCUCUACGGGCAUGCUACCCCACAGAAAUUCAUCAAUGCUUCAGUUAUCGGGUAAUCACUCUCAAGCACCAAUUUAAUUGGAAGCCCGUGAACUACCUUACCUGUCUGUUGAAGGGAACCAUCCAUCUUUAGGAAAAGUGUCUUUCAGUAGCUCUGUGAUGUACUCUUUUGUUGAAUUUCUAAAAUUCUACUUUCUGGUGGAUAGAGGUAUUACUCUCAUCUAGUUUCUAGUUUAUUAUGCUCUUUCAUACCGUUCAUUUCGACUAUUUUUCAGAUGGGGACGUCUGAAACAGCUGCAGCUGUCCAUUGGCGUUCUAGGAAAGUGCUCAAAAACUGCGAUUCACUUGUUCCUUCUACAACCAUGUGAUGGAUUUAUGCUAAUCACUUUUGAGCAUGUACAUUUUUUUUUUUUUUUUGAUCAAAACCUGUUUUAAUUUAUUUGUUGAUGACCCAGGGACCAUGUAAUGUGAACUAAUUUUUUUUGUGGGAGAUUUUGUCCAUGUGAUCAUCCCAUCAUAUGUAAUUUCUUAUUUUGUCCAUUUUCUUUUAUAGUAGAAUAUGUAUUAUUUAUAAAAUAGGCUACCGUUAACUGUCUUGUACGGCCAUUUUCCAAGUUUUUAUUUUGAAAAUUUUGGUAGCUAUUUUUAUUACAACGUAGCUCAUUUAGAGAUGUAAAGUAGGUUGACCUAAGGUGUUUGGUCCAUGCUUUCUUGACCUAGAAUGAGAAUUUUUUCUUAAUGCUUUUGAUUGUUGGGAUCAAUUGUUUUUUAAACAAAUUUGAA
rnacentral:lncRNA from 1 species